rnacentral:rRNA from 1 species
CCCUUAGAUGUUCUGGGCCGCACGCGCGCUACACUGACGAAGUCAGCGAGCAUGUCCUACGCCGACAGGUGCGGGGAAUCUUGUCAAACUUCGUCGUGAUGGGGAUUGAUUAUUGAAAUUCUUGAUCAUCCACGAGGAAUUCCUAGUAAGCGCAAGUCAGCAGCUUGCGUUGAUUACGUCCCUGCCCUUUGUACACACCGCCCGUCGCUACUACCGAUUGAAUGGUUUAGUGAGAUCUUCGGAUUGGCGCCACUGCGGCUCAGCAAUGGGCUCGGUGGAUGCCGAAAAGUUGAUCAAACUUGAUCAUUUAGAGGAAGUAAAAGUCGUAACA